ACAGGCCUCUCUUGUUGGUGAGCAGAUCAUCAAAUCAUCAACAUAUUGCAAGAGAGCACUCCCCCCUGGUCACCCCUAGGCUGCAGCAGCUGCCUCUGUCUGCUCAUCGCUCCUCGCCUACGUUUCCCCGUCCUCCCAUGAUGGUGGCACUGAACGCCAGCCAAGCCAGCUCGGCCCUCCAGGGACGUAUUGUCAGUGAUGGCUUUGUCCACUAAGACGAGAGUUGCAGCCACUAUGCUUGCCACUGCAAAAACACCAUGUGAG